GACGAACGCUGGCGGCGUGCCUAAUACAUGCAAGUAGAACGCUGAAGAGAGGAGCUUACUCUUCUUGGAUGAGUUGCGAACGGGUGAGUAACGCGUAGGUAACCUGCCUUGUAGCGGGGGAAACCUUUUGGAACCGUUAGCUAUUCCCCCAUACCAAUGGUUGCCACUUUUCAUUUUUUUGAAAGGGCCAUUUCUCCCCCUCCAAAUUGGCCUUGCGUUGUAUUAGCUAGUAGGUGAGGUAAUGGCUCACCUAGGCGACGAUACAUAGCCGACCUGAGAGGGUGAUCGGCCACACUGGGACUGAGACACGGCCCAGACUCCUACGGGAGGCAGCAGUAGGGAAUCUUCGGCAAUGGGGGCAACCCUGACCGAGCAACGCCGCGUGAGUGAAGAAGGUUGUCGGAUCGUAAAGCUCUGUUGUAAGUCAAGAACGGGUGUGAGAGUGGAAAGUUCACACUGUGACGGUAGCUUACCAGAAAGGGACGGCUAACUACGUG
rnacentral:rRNA from 1 species